GAUCAUGGCUCAGGAUGAACGCUGGCGGCGUGCUUAACACAUGCAAGUCGGGCGAAGCGCUUAAGUCUGAUUCUUCGGAUGAAGACUUUUUGUGACUGAGCGGCGGACGGGUGAGUAACGCGUGGGUAACCUGCCUCAUACAGGGGGAUAACAGUUAGAAAUGACUGCUAAUACCGCAUAAGACCACGGUACCGCAUGGUACAGUGGUAAAACUCCGGUGGUAUGAGAUGGACCCGCGU
rnacentral:rRNA from 1 species